AUACGGAGGGUGCAAGCGUUAUCCGGAAUCAUUGGGUUUAAAGGGUCCGCAGGCGGAUUAAUAAGUCAGUGGUGAAAUCCUCUCGCUCAACGAGAGAACUGCCAUUGAAACUGUUAGUCUUGAAUUCGGUCGAAGUAGGCGGAAUGUGUCAUGUAGCGGUGAAAUGCAUAGAUAUGACACAGAACACCGAUAGCGAAGGCAGCUUACUGGACCUGGAUUGACGCUCAUGGACGAAAGCGUGGGGAGCGAACAGGAUUAGAAACCCUAGUAGUCC
rnacentral:rRNA from 1 species